GAGUUUGAUCCUGGCUCAGGAUGAACGCUGGCGGUAUGCUUAACACAUGCAAGUCGAACGAAAUCUUUCGGGAUUUAGUGGCGGACGGGUGAGUAACGCGUGAGAAUCUGCCUUCAGGUCUGGGACAACCACUGGAAACGGUGGCUAAUACCGGAUGUGCCGAGAGGUGAAAGGUUAACUGCCUGAAGAUGAGCUCGCGUCUGAUUAGCUAGUAGGUGUGGUAAAAGCGCACCUAGGCGACGAUCAGUAGCUGGUCUGAGAGGACGAUCAGCCACACUGGGACUGAGACUCGGCCCAGACUCCUACGGGAGGCAGCAGUGGGGAAUUUUCCGCAAUGGGCGAAAGCCUGACGGAGCAAUACCGCGUGAGGGAGGAAGGCUCUUGGGUCGUAAACCUCUUUUCUCAGGGAAGAACACAAUGACGGUACCUGAGGAAUAAGCAUCGGCUAACUCCGUGCCAGCAGCCGCGGUAAUACGGAGGAUGCAAGCGUUAUCCGGAAUGAUUGGGCGUAAAGCGUCCGCAGGUGGCUAUGUAAGUCUGCUGUUAAAGAGUCUAGCUCAACUAGAUAAGAGCAGUGGAAACUACAUGGCUAGAGUGCGUUCGGGGCAGAGGGAAUUCCUGGUGUAGCGGUGAAAUGCGUAGAGAUCAGGAAGAACACCGGUGGCGAAGGCGCUCUGCUAGGCCGCAACUGACACUGAGGGACGAAAGCUAGGGGAGCGAAUGGGGAUUAGAUACCCCAGUAGUCCUAGCCGUAAACGAUGGAUACUAGGCGUGGCUUGUAUCGACCCGAGCCGUGCCCGUAGCCUAACGCGUUAAGUAUCCC
rnacentral:rRNA from 1 species